rnacentral:lncRNA from 1 species
UAGUCUCCUCGUUUGUAAAAUGAGAGUUAAAAUCUACCUCAUGGAAUCAUUGCUAAGAUUAAGCAAGAUAUAUAAGUAGAGCUUGUGCACAUGGUAGGUACUUGGAGAAUGUUAUUUCUCCUUCCCUCUUACUCAUCUGGACAAGUUUAACUAGAAUUCUAAACAGUUAAAUAUGUAUCAAUCCUUUGUAUUAAAUAUCUUGAUGGUAAAAUGUUAAAAUAUUGAUGUGAAUAACAGCUGGUAUUGAAUAUUCAAAUUAGGGGAACUCUUUCAUUGUUUUAAGAUAACAUCUGUACAUUUAAUCUGUGCCAUGCAAUAAAACAGCUUUUCCUGAAACAGCUUUUUAAAAACUAUUUUUAAGAAAUUCAUAAGUUACUUUUAAGAACAUUAGCUUAGAACAUCUUCCCCUUUCACAACAAAUUAGACAUUAGAGCCAAAAUUGCCCAAAUUGGUAUAGUUUCUAUCUCCCUACACUUUAAUCAAGAUGUUUGUCUUUAUAUCAGCAAAAACCGCUACUUAAGUGAGAUUCCUGCAUCCCAAUAAAUGUAUCUGGGCAUUUGGUACUUGAGAGAGGAUUGGGUUUGACAAC